rnacentral:rRNA from 1 species
AUUGAACGCUGGCGGCAUGCCUUACACAUGCAAGUCGAACGGUAACAGGUCUUCGGAUGCUGACGAGUGGCGAACGGGUGAGUAAUGCAUCGGAACGUGCCCAGUUGUGGGGGAUAACUGCUCGAAAGAGCAGCUAAUACCGCAUACGACCUGAGGGAGAAAGCGGGGGAUCGCAAGACCUCGCGCAAUUGGAGCGGCCGAUGCCAGAUUAGGUCGUUGGUGGGGUAAAGGCCUACCAAGCCGACGAUCUGUAGUUGGUCUGAGAGGACGACCAGCCACACUGGGACUGAGACACGGCCCAGACUCCUACGGGAGGCAGCAGUGGGGAAUUUAGGACAAUGGGCGCAAGCCUGAUCCAGCAAUGCCGCGUGCAGGAAGAAGGCCUUCGGGUUGUAAACUGCUUUUGUCAGGGAAGAAAUCCUCUGGGUUAAUACCCCGGGGGGAUGACGGUACCUGAAGAAUAAGCACCGGCUAACUACGUGCCAGCAGCCGCCGCCG